rnacentral:rRNA from 1 species
GAUGAACGCUAGCGGUAGGCUUAACACAUGCAAGUCGAGGGGUAUAGUUCUUCGGAACUAGAGACCGGCGCACGGGUGCGUAACGCGUAUGCAAUCUACCUUUUACAGGGGAAUAGCCCAGAGAAAUUUGGAUUAAUGCCCCAUAGUAUAGUUUAUUCGCAUGAGUAGAUUAUUAAAGUUCCAACGGUAAAAGAUGAGCAUGCGUCCCAUUAGCUAGAUGGUAAGGUAACGGCUUACCAUGGCGACGAUGGGUAGGGGUCCUGAGAGGGAGAUCCCCCACAAUGGGACUGAGACACGGACCAGACUCCUACGGGAGGCAGCAGUGAGGAAUAUUGGUCAAUGGACGCAAGUCUGAACCAGCCAUGCCGCGUGCAGGAUGACGGUCCUAUGGAUUGUAAACUGCUUUUGUACGAGAAGAAACACUGCUACGUGUAGCAGCUUGACGGUAUCGUAAGAAUAAGGAUCGGCUAACUCCGUGCCAGCCGCCGCCGUAA